AAUCAACGCUGGCGGCGUGCCUCAGACAUGCAAGUCGAACGAUUAAAGCUCUCUUCGGAGAGUGCAUAGAGUGGCGCACGGGUGAGUAACACGUAAGUAAUCUACCUUCGAGUGGGGAAUAACGUCCGGAAACGGACGCUAAUACCGCAUAAUGCAGCGGCAUCGUAAGAUGACAGUUGUUAAAGAUUUAUCGCUUGAAGAGGAGCUUGCGGCAGAUUAGCUAGUUGGUAAGGUAAUGGCUUACCAAGGCUACGAUCUGUAUCCGGUCUAAGAGGACGGUCGGAC
rnacentral:rRNA from 1 species